UUUAACCUUUUUUUCAAAUUAAUAGAAGUUGUUCUCAGAUUACUUUUCCCCUUUUCUGUUUCACGCCCUAAUUGUUUUUGGGUCUCAAACUAAAUCACGCAGAGCUCACCACCAGUCUGUCACAACUCAACGGCAGCCAUCGGCGGUCUCAACAUGGUAUCAAAGCCACUGGCGAUUGGUUUUCUCCGACAGCUGUGUCUCUCUUCUUCAAUCUUUGUUCGAUAGUUUCUUUCGCGAGAACAUUUCUCUUCGUUUGUCAGCUUUUUCGCUUAUCUGUGGUUAGUCUUCUUUGUUUGAGAGAGAAUGAUGACUCCAUUAGAUUUCAAUGUUGAUUUAACCAUCCAUUGUACUUGCAUCCAUCCAAUACUCCAGGUACACAGUUAGUCUCUUAUCAGCUUCUUGGGUCUGAAAAUUACACUGUUUGGAGUUGAGCUAUGCGAAUUGCGUUGUUGGCAAAUAAUAAGCUAGGUCUUGUCGAUAGUACCUGUUAUAGAGACUUAGUGCCAAUUGAAUUGCAUCCAUAAUCGGAUCGAUGCAAUGCUAUUGUGUUGUCUUGGAUUUUAAGCACUGUUAGAAAAGAUCUUUCAGUAAGGGUUGUUUUUGCUUCAAGUGCUGAGGUAGUUUGGACAGACCUUGGUGAACGGUUCAACAAGGUCGAUGGCUCUCGAGUUUUCUUCUUGCAUCGUGAGAUUGCCUCUUAUUGUCAAGGGACUAUGUUUAUAUCUGUGUAUUUCACUAAAUUGAGAUUGUUAUGGGACGAGUACGAUGUGUUGGUUCCUUUUUCCUUUUGUGGUUGUUGUGGACACUCAAAGCAGAAUGCCGAUCAUAUUAUGCAACAUCGAUCGUUCCAAUUUUUGAUGGGUCUAAAUGAUACCUAUUACUUUGUUAGGAGUCAAAUUUUUUUUAUGACCCCAUUGCCUACAGUCAAUCAGGCAUAUCUAUGUUGGUACUGGAGUCUCAAAGACUUAAUGCUUCAGGACCAGCAGCCUCGGAUCCAACGUCGGUAUAUUCAACUCUUAUGACUUACAAGAAGAAAUUUAAUGGUGUUUGUGACCAUUGCAAAAUCAAGGGACACAAAAGGGAGAGUUGUUACAGACUAAUUGGGUAUCCUUCUGAUUUUAAGUUCACUAGGAAGAAGGUAAAUGAUUCAGCUGGCUCUGUGAAUAGUGUGGUUGCAGUUGAAUCUGUAGGUGAGGUUGUUGAAGCUGGUUCAUCUAGUGCUCCUCAAGGUGUAAGCACCGGUAUUUACAUCAGCUCAAUAUCAACAACUAUUGAAUUUGUUGAGCAAAGACUCUUCGACGGUACCUACUGCGAGUUUGGCAGAAACUAGCUUGGCAGGACCUCUCAAGUGGCAAGAUGCUGGGGAUUGGUAAAGAACAAGGUGGUCUGUACGUCCUUCAGCCUUCUCAACCUACUUCUUUGUCAAGUUCAGUAGUAACCAAGGGUAACAUUUCAUCUGACACAACUGCUACUACUAAUUUCCAGGCUAAGUAGAACGCCUUUACAACCAUGUAAUUUUUUGGAUAGUACUCCUAUACUUUAGUGUUCUGUUUGUCCUUUAGCUAAGAAAACUAGAUUGCCCUUUCCAAUAAGAAAAACUUGGGUUGAGGCAGUGUUUUCUCUUCUUCAUUUAGACUUGUGGGGUCCAUAUAGGGUUUCAACCCACAGUGGGCAUAGGUAUUUCUUGACCAUUGUGGAUGAUUUCUCCCGUAUGACUUAGGUUUAUCUUUUACGUUUGAAAAGUGAUGUUCUUAUACAAAUCAAGCAAUUUUUUUUGUCAUGAUUAAAAAUCAAUUUUUAGCAA